rnacentral:rRNA from 1 species
AGAGUUUGAUUCUGGCUCAGAGUGAACGCUGGCGGCGUGGCUUAGGCAUGCAAGUCGAGCGAGAAACCGGGCUUCGGCCUGGGAGUAAAGCGGCGAACGGGUGAGGAACACACGGCCAACGUACCCUCGAGAUGGGGAUAACAGACCGAAAGGUUUGCUAAUACCCAAUGGACUCCGGAGAUCGCAUGGUUUCUGGAGUAAAGGUAGCUGGGGCAACCCAGCCUCCGCUCGGGGAGCGGGCCAUGUCCUAUCAGCUUGUUGGUGAGGUGACGGCUCACCAAGGCGACGACGGGUAGCCGGGCUGAGAGGCUGUCCGGCCACACUGGGACUGAGACACUGCCCAGACUCCUACGGGAGGCUGCAGUCGAGAAUCUUCCGCAAUGGGCGAAAGCCUGACGGAGCGACGCCGCGUGUGGGAUGAAGGCCUUCGGGUUGUAAACCACUGUCACCGGUUAUGAAAUGACCGUAGGUUAAUAGCCUGCGGUUUUGACAAAAGCCGGGGAGGAAGUCACGGCUAACUACGUGCCAGCAGCCGCGGUAAU